UGUAAAGAAAGGCUUGAUUUUUAUAGGAGAUAUGUGAAGAAAACAAGUGAGUUCCGUGAGAGAUCUGCCCAUUCGGAAGAGCGAUGGAAGGAAAAUAGCCUUGUGAGGCUUCCACUUGGGAGGAGAGAAAAAGUUGAGUGAAAAGAGCUUGGAAGAGGCUCAGUUUUGUGGAAGUUGGGAGAAAAACCGAAAGGUUUUCUCUUGCAUGCCAUGGUUGGAGCUUUAGGAAGGCAUGGGAGGUUUGGCCUAGUGAUUCCAAGCUAAGGAAGGUAAGUAGAACCUUGAUUUUGGUUAUGAUUUCUUGAGGAAAUGAGUUGGUAAUUGUGUGAGUAUGUUUGUGGUAGCAAAGGUCCUCCAAGAUUUGAAAGAAAUAGAUGCAAGCAUGUGGGUUAAUCUUGGAACGCAUGUUGAUUUUGGAGCUAGAUAAGCAAUGGUGGUGAUAGAGAAUGUGACGAAUGGUGGAUUAUAUGUGGAACUCAAGUUAAAAUCGAAAGAUAGUGAUCAACCUAACGUGCAUUCAACGACAUUUGCAGUCCAUUGCGAAUAGGUAAACGCAUCUCAUAGCACUUUAUUCUUAGUUGCUCCACUGCUACAGGUCGAGUUGUCAUAGUG